rnacentral:miRNA from 1 species
UGUAAGUCCAUAUGUGCUCUCU